rnacentral:rRNA from 1 species
GGGUGAGUAACGCGUGGGUGACCUGCCCGGGAGAUCGGGAUAACAGUUCGAAAGGGCUGCUAAUACCGGAUGAUAUCUUUUCUUUUCGGAGGGGAGAUCAAAGCGUUUAGCGCUCUCGGAUGGGCCCGCGUCCCAUUAGUUAGUUGGUGGGGUAAUGGCCUACCAAGGCAGCGAUGGGUAGCCGGUCUGAGAGGAUGUUCGGCCACACUGGGACUGAGACACGGCCCAGACUCCUACGGGAGGCAGCAGUGGGGAAUUUUGCGCAAUGGGGGAAACCUUGACGCAGCGACGCCGCGUGAGUGAUGAAGGCCUUCGGGUUGUAAAGCUCUGUUGGGGGGGAAGAUAGUGACGGUACCCCCUGAGGAAGCCCCGGCUAACUACGUGCCAGCAGCCGCGGUAAGACGUAGGGGGCGAGCGUUGUCCGGAAUUACUGGGCGUAAAGGGCGUGUAGGCGGCCUUUCAAGUCGGCUGUGAAAUUCCUUGGCUUAACUGAGGGUGUGCAGUCGAAACUGAUGGGCUUGAGUGCAGGAGAGGGUGGUGGAAUUCCCGGUGUAGCGGUGACAUGCGUAGAUAUCGGGAGGAACACCGGUGGCGAAGGCGGCCUCCUGGUCUGUUACUGACGCUGAGGCGCGAAAGCCGGGGGAGCAAACAGGAUUAGAUACCCUGGUAGUCCCGGCCGUAAACUCUGGGUACUAGGUGUAGGGGGCUUCGAUGCCUUCUGUGCCGUAGUUAACGCAUUAAGUACCCCGCCUGGGGAGUACGAUCGCAAGGUUGAAACUCAAAGGAA